rnacentral:ncRNA from 1 species
GCUUCGGCCGGCAAAAAACAGUCAACUCAGAACUGGCACGGACCGGGGGAAUCCGACUGUCUAAUUAAACAAGCAUUGCGAUGGCCGCUGGUCGAUGUUGACGCAAUGUGAUUUCUGCCCAGUGCUCUGAAUGUCAACGUGAAGAGAUUCAUCAAAGCGCGGGUAAACGGCGGGAGUAACUAUGACUCUCUUGUGCCUUGUUGGGCACGAGGGGGUUGCCCUGUGAGGGGUUGUUCUCUAGCGAGAGUAGCAUGCACGCCACUCGUUCGCUUGGAAAACCAUGGUUGCU